rnacentral:rRNA from 1 species
UACGGGGGGGGCAAGCGUUGUUCGGAAUUACUGGGCGUAAAGGGCUCGUAGGCGGCCAACUAAGUCGGAUGUGAAAUCCCCAGGCUUAACCUGGGAACUGCAUCCGAUACUGGAUGGCUUGAAUCCGGGAGAGGGAUGCAGAAUUCCAGGUGUAGCGGUGAAAUGCGUAGAUAUCUGGAGGAAUACCGGUGGCGAAGGCGGCAUCCUGGACCGGCAUUGACGCUGAGUGAGCGAAAGCCAGGGGAGCAAACGGGG